rnacentral:lncRNA from 1 species
AAAAAAUUAGCCACACAUAAUGGAGUAAUAACAAAUAUAAUUGAGAAAAAUAUAAUCAUAUAAUAAUUAAAAAUAAAUUUAUAAAAAUUUGUAAAUAUUAGCGUUCGGAUUUCAUCAUAAAAUUUAAAUAAAUAUUACCCAAUAAUAUGCAAAUUGAAAAUUUAAAUAAAUAUUACUUGAUUAUUAUUUUUCUUAGCUUCUCUCUCCACCUAACUCUGUUCUACGUUUCUACUUCUCCAAUCAACUCAUGAUUCUGCUUCUAUAACGCUUCGCCUCGUGCAGCUUUGGGUUUCCGCUUCUAAUCUACUCCCAUUGAAGCCUUCUACUUGCACUUGUUGCUUUUCCAUACCUAGUUUCUGCUUUCUCUCUCUACCUCCCGUCUUUCUCUCUCCAUCUCUCUCUCUCUCUCUCUUAUUUAUGGGUGGCCAUCCUUUGAUUUUCGCAGGCUUACUAUUUAGGCUUCCCCAUUUUCCCUUUUUCUCCUCAUUUUCCUCUUCUAGAUUUUUUCUUCUUCAGAGACGUACAAGCCUCUUUUACGUUUCUGCAAAUUUUUUUUUUUUUUC